ensembl:lncRNA
AGCUAGGCAGUGCUUCUCCCUUUCGUGGUAUUGGCUGGGGCUUCAGUGAUCCCAGGCUCAAGUGGGCCGGAACAUCCAAAGAUGGCUCACUCAUCUGAUAGGCAGUUGGUGCUGGCAGUUGGCCGGGAGCUCACUUGGGACUGUUUAUUACUGGGUCCCUCGUAUUCCUUCACGUGGCCUCUCCACAUGGCUUGGGCUUUUCACAGGAUGCCAGCUGGGUUCCUAGAGGGCGUGUUCCAAGUGCAGGAGAGCAGGUGCUGCAGAUCUUUCAACGCCAGCAUCAAAAGUUACACAGCAUCAAUCCCUCCACGUUCUUUUAGCCAAAGCAAGUCACAGGGCCCUCUCAGAUUCAAGGGUGGGGGAAAUAGAUUCACCCUCCCAGUGGGAACAGUGGCAAAGAAUUUGCAGCCAUCUUUAUUUUUAUUUUUUUAGAUUGGCCCUGAGCUAACAUCUGUUUCUGAUCUUCUUCUCCUCCUCCCCAAAGCCCCCCAGCACAUAGCUGGAUAUUCUAGUUGUAGGUCCUUCUGGUUGUGGCAUGUGGGACGACACCACAACAUGGCUUGAUGAGUGGUGCAUGUCCACACCCAGGAUACGAACCAGCAAAACCCUGGGCCACUGAAGUGCAGCAUGCAAACCCAACCACUCGGCCACAGGGCCGGCCCCUGUAGCCUUCUUUAGUCCACCAUAGUAACCAAUGCUGCUUGUGUAAAAUUUGACCUGGAAAUCCUAGACCAACACUUUGCUAAGGAGACACAGGAUCUAGCGCCAGAUCAUCUGGGUUCUGCGACCCUCUAGCUAGAAUCAUUUAAUCUCUCUAUGCCUUAGGAUUUAUGAGUAAAUAUAUAUGUAAAACACUUAGGACAGUGCCUGGCACUAAGUAUGCACUAUAUAAGUUCUUGCCAUUAUUAUUAAGGAGGAAGCUAAAUGAACUUUUGGCGGAACAAGCAUUAGAUGAACAAAUUUAUGGUCUAGAAAAAGAGGACGUUUCUCUUUUUGAAGGUGUCAUAGACUAAAUUUCAAGUUCAUUUGGAUGAGAUAAAAUGUGUGGAAUUAAGAUAAAUAGAUGAGUGUGAAUCAGAGUACAUCAGUCAGAAUAGUCUGAAGGUUCUGCAACCAAAUGGUCCUUAGUUCUUUAUUUAAAAAAAUUUUUUUUAAAGACUUUACUUUUCCUUUUUCUCCCAAAGCCCCCUGGUACCUAGUUGUGUAUUUUUAGUUGUGGAUCCUUCUAGUUGUGGCAUGUGGGAUGCCGCCUCAGCAUGGCUUGAUGAGUGGUGCCAUGUCCAUGCCCAGGAUUCGAACCGGUGAAACCCUGGGCCGCCUAAGUGGAGCACGUGAACUUAACCACUCGGCCACAGGGCCGGCCCCUAUUUAAAAUUUUUUUUUUUUUUUUAAAGAUUUUAUUUUUCCUUUUUCCCCCCAAAGCCCCCCCAGUACAUAGUUGUAUAUUCUUCGUUGUGGGUCCUUCUAGUUGUGGCAUGUGGGAUGCUGCCUCAGCGUGGUUUGAUGAGCAGUGCCAUGUCCGCGCCCAGGAUUCGAACCAACGAAACACUGGGCCGCCUGCAGCGGAGCGCGCGAACUUAACCACUCGGCCACGGGGCCAGCCCCCCUAUUUAAAAUUUUUAAACAAAUAAUCUAAAUGGGAAGAUAUUAUCAGGACCCUUCCUGAGAAAAUUUGGAGUUUACAAAACUCACAAUUAACCAUGAUCUACACUUAAUUUUUUUUUUAAAAACACAGAAGCCCAGAGCUUCCUACAAGGAAGGAUUAUUAGGCUUAACUUACUCCAGGACAUUAAGAUGUUGUUAAGUUUUAAGUUUCUGGAUAGCUUCUUCUGAGUUCUAAUUUUUUAAAAUUUUAUUGAGGUCAUAUUGAAACCAGCAAUGCAUUGGCCAUUGAUGAUUAAGUAGCUAGGAACUAAAGGUUUUUUCCUUUUUGCAAUUACUGAUCAUAACUUUUAGCUGUUUAUCCACCCAUUGUUAACUGUGCUGUUUAGGCAAUAUGCUGUCUGACUCCCACUAGGUUCCUGCAGAUAACAUCUCCCUGGAGCCUAGAUCACUAUGGUAAUGAGCGUUUGAGCUGGUUUUCAGGAAUUACAACCCCUUGUCCACUUCAGGCCGGUUGAGACCACCAACCUGUCAACUGAGCCCACACAGAUGUCUGGCCUUUUGAGGUCAGGAGCCUAAAAAUUCUGCCUAGUCAUGCUAUUGCCGCCAUUUUGUGAACACGCAUCCUGUGAAGAGGCAUGGAGUCUGACUAGCUUGCGCAGACCGUCAACUACCUCACCUCUCCUCGCCUCCAAUCACGUCUCCACAUUUCAGACCACCUUGCCCGCUACGCCAUAAAUAUCCCUCAGUCUGCAUUUUCGAGGAGGCAGAUUUGAGAUUUAUUCUCCUGUUUCCUCACUUGGCUGCCUUGUGAUUAAACCCCCUCUCUGCUGCAAUCUUGUCGUCUCAGUGUUUGGCUUUCUGGGUGAUGGGCAAAAACGAACCUGGGCUCGGUAACAAUCUUGGC